rnacentral:lncRNA from 1 species
GUGCACACAGGUACAGGGACAUCAGCUGGGCCAUGGGGUCUGGGAGGAGAUUGCCUGCUUCAGGAAAGAGGUGGAGGUGAAGGUCAAGCACAGAGCCCUCCUGGCAUAUCCAGUGCUCUCUCCGUUAUGAGGAGGGGUAAGGAGUGAGGAUGGUGUUUCCGGGAAAGCAGAGGUGAGGCCCGCUGGACUCCAGGCAGCUCUCUGCUCUCCUUGCCUUUUGCCUCAGCUCCCCGCCUCUCACAGCGAGCCUCCGGAGAUUGGGAAGCGGCGUUUCCUCACCUGCCAGUGCUCCUGUACUCCAGCUCCGCAGACCCCACUCCAGCCUCGCGCCUUGCAUCACACACAUCAGAGCAGCAUCUCUCAGGCCAAGCCCUUCCACAUUUCUGCUGCGCUCCUGGCAUGUGGCUAACCCCGCAUGGCUUCCUACAUUUAGUCAUGGAUACCGGAGAUGGGAAGGGCUUUAAAUGCCAGUUGGUCAAGGCUCAUUUCACAUAUGAGGGAAAUGAGAUCCAGAGAAGCUGAACAACUUACCUGAGAUCACACAGUUUGCACUGUAGAAUUGGAUAAGAACCCCGCUCUUCAGCUCUCAGCCAGCAUCCUCGUGCUGUGUGAAGUGAUGGAUUUUUGCAUGUCAGUCGGUCUGGAGAGGAGAUGAUGCUCUGAAGGUGCUGCCUGGCUCUGAACUGUGGAAGCCAAGAGCUCUGGUGGGGUUGGAACUGAAGGUCCACCACAUUUGCCCCAAGAAGAACAUCCUUGCUGGCCUUGCUGAGGGAGCCUGGCAUGCAUCAUGCUUGGCAAUUGUCUUCCUGAGACUCCCCUGCUGGGACAGCGACAGGGCAUGGGGCCCUGAAUGCAUGACAACAACAACUGCAGGUCUCCUGACCCUUGUUUGUAGAGGUGGGUCAUCUCUAGUACCGACCUCCAUCCACCUGCGAAGCAGGGCUGGUCACUUUGUUACCAGCCACAGCCCUCCCCUGGAGGGAUCUGCAGUGUAAACGGAUCAUGUGAGUGCUGACCUUUGCAAAGGUCCAAAUGUGGUCAAUUCAGUUAUUCAUACCAGGCAAGGAAGCUGCCUUAUGAAUAAUUCAAAGUUGUUGCAAAUCCACAAACCUUUUUCACAUUGCCUGCUUGCAGUAGGCUCUCCAUAAAUGUUUACUGAAUCACUGAAUAAAUUAACAUAUGAAUGAAUAUUUUGCAAUAAGCUUUUGGUAUUUACAUUUGCACAUCCAUCUGUUGAUGCUCUGAGGAUCAGCAGCAGUCCUCACAAAAGGGCUCAGGCAUGCUCCCAAAACAGGCCAGAAAAGCCAAGUGGGCCAUGGUUCUCUCUUGCUCUGCAAGGGUGGCGGGGAAUAGAAAAAAAUGUUCCCAUGGCUGAUACAGCCUCUAGCUAGAAGCUGUGAGAUUCCUGACACACGCCAUGCCAGAUUUGUGUGGCUUAACACUUUUAUUCUGCUUUUAUAACCCUCUCCUCUAGCUUUGGUUAAAACUACUAUGUGGUCAGCAGAAUGGCCCCCCAAAGAUGUUUGGGCCCUCACCCCUGGAAACUGUGACUAUGUUACAUCAUGUGGGAAGAGGACUUUGCAGAUAUGAUUAAAGUUAUGGACCUUACAAUAGAGAAUUAUCUUGAAUUAUCUGGGCAGGCCCAACCAAAUCACAUGUGUCCUCAAAAGCGAAGAACUCUCUUCACGGGAGUCCGAGAGAUGGGGCUGAAGGAGAAGUGGGAGGGAUGGAAAGGUGAGAAUGCUCCAUGGGCUGUUAGGGGCUUGCAGAGGGUGGGGCAGUGAGUCCAGGAAUGCAGGUGGCCCCAAGGAGCUGA